GGGGCUGUAGCGCAGCUGGGAGCGCAUUUGGCUGGCAGCCAAAGGGUCAGGGGUUCGAUCCCCCUCAGCUCCACCA
rnacentral:tRNA from 1 species